rnacentral:rRNA from 1 species
UACGUAGGGGGCUAGCGUUGUCCGGAUUUAUUGGGCGUAAAGAGCGUGUAGGCGGCCAGGUAGGUCUGCUGUGAAAACUCGAGGCUCAACCUCGAGACGCCGGCGGAAACCAUCUGGCUAGAGUCCGGAAGAGGAGAGUGGAAUUCCCGGUGUAGCGGUGAAAUGCGCAGAUAUCGGGAGGAACACCUAUGGCGAAGGCAGCUCGCUGGGACGUUACUGACGCUGAGACGCGAAAGCGUGGGGAGCAAACAGG